AUGUGGUUUAAUUCGAUGCACGCGAAAACUUACCCACCUUGACAUGUACGGAACCCUUUAGAGAUAGAGGGGUGCUCGAAAGAGAGCCGUAACACAGGUGCUGCAUGGCUGUCGUCAGCUCGUGUCGUGAGAUGUUGGGUUAAGUCCCGCAACGAGCGCAACCCUUGUCAUUAGUUGCUACAUUCAGUUGGGCACUCUAAUGAGACUGCCGGUGACAAGCCGGAGGAAGGUGGGGAUGACGUCAAGUCCUCAUGGCCCUUAUAGGUGGGGCUACACACGUCAUACAAUGGCUGGUACAAAGGGUUGCCAACCCGCGAGGGGGAGCCAAUCCCAUAAAGCCAGUCGUAGUCCGGAUCGUAGUCUGCAACUCGACUGCGUGAAGUCGGAAUCGCUAGUAAUCGUGAAUCAGAAUGUCACGGUGAAUACGUUCCCGGGCCUU
rnacentral:rRNA from 1 species